rnacentral:lncRNA from 1 species
GUGGAUAAUGGUUUCGACAGAUUUACAUUUAGAAAAGCCCUUGUAGAGGACAAGUAAGGUGUGUGUGCCUGUGAGUGAAAAUGAAAUGCACAUCCUACAUGCAUCUUUUAAAAAAAAAAAAGAGUUUACUCCACAAAAAAAGUAAAGAAGAGUUUACCUGGUUGCAAAUUUCUUUUUUGUCUAGGUUCAAUUUGAGGUCAGCAAGGGUGAAGGGGAGGUGGUUGUUGGAGAGUAAGCAUCACG